rnacentral:rRNA from 1 species
UACAGAGGGUGCGAGCGUUAAUCGGAAUUACUGGGCGUAAAGCGUGCGUAGACGGUUAUUUAAGUCGGGUGUGAAAGCCCCGGGCUCAACCUGGGAAUUGCAUUCGAGACUGAAUAGCUAGGGUACGGUAGAGGGAAGCGGAAUUUCCGGUGUAGCGGUGAAAUGCGUAGAUAUCUGGAGGAACACCGGUGGCGAAGGCGGCAUCCUGGACCAAUACUGACGCUGAGUGAGCGAAAGCCAGGGGAGCAAACGGG